rnacentral:snRNA from 1 species
UCGGAGUGAGACGAUCUACCUUCAUCCGUUUCUUGCCUUUUACCAGAGGCGGCAUAAGAUCGCUCAAAGACUCCAUAUAACAAUCUUUGGAAACCACCAUUCUGCCUUGUGCGGAU